AUAUUGGUCAAUGGAGGCAACUCUGAACCAGCCAUGCCGCGUGCAGGAAGACAGCCCUAUGGGUCGUAAACUGCUUUUAUUGGGGAAUAACCUCCUGUAUGUAUACAGGACUGAAUGUACCCAAGGAAUAAGGAUCGGCUAACUCCGUGCCAGCAGCCGCGGUAAUACGGAGGAUCCAAGCGUUAUCCGGAUUUAUUGGGUUUAAAGUGUGCGUAGGCGGCCUAUUAAGUCAGGGGUGAAAGACGGUGGCUCAACCAUCGCAGUGCCUUUGAUACUGAUGGGCUUGAAUGCAGCUGAGGUAGGCGGAAUGUGACAAGUAGCGGUGAAAUGCAUAGAUAUGUCACAGAACACCGAUUGCGAAGGCAGCUUACUAAAGUGCAAUUGACGCUGAGGCACGAAAGCGUGGGGAUCAAACAGGA
rnacentral:rRNA from 1 species